GUUUAAAUAGUUUAAUAAAAACGUUGGUUUGUGGUGCCAAAAAUAUGAAAAAAUUCAUUUUAGACC
rnacentral:tRNA from 1 species